CGCAAACCCUCAGCUCUGUCCUCCAGUCCUGCAGUCAUCGCAGAGGUUCUCUACUGUGUUCCCCUGCUCCACACACGCAGGAGAGAAGGCAAGGAUGAGAAAUAGGGGAAAUGCAGAAGGAGAUGGUAGGGCGAAGGAAGAGAAUGAGGAAAGAAAAUGAAAAGGCUUUCCAUCGGACCCGUCAGAUACGGGAAAUAGGAGGAAAAUCUCUGCAGGGCAAGAGCUGCCGAGAACACCGCGUCACUCCGUCCCCGCAUCCCUGA